GGAAUAUUGGUCAAUGGGCGCGAGCCUGAACCAGCCAAGUAGCGUGAGGGAAGACUGCCCUAUGGGUUGUAAACCUCUUUUGUUUGGGAAUAAAGUGUCCUACGAGUAGGAUUUUGUAUGUACCUUACGAAUAAGCAUCGGCUAAUUCCGUGCCAGCAGCCGCGGUAAUACGGAAGAUGCGAGCGUUAUCCGGAUUUAUUGGGUUUAAAGGGAGCGUAGGCGGCCCGUUAAGUCAGCGGUUAAAUGUCAUGGCCCAACCUUGGCAUGCCGUUGAUACUGGUGGGCUUGAAUACACACAAGGAUGGUGGAAUUCGUUGUGUAGCGGUGAAAUGCUUAGAUAUGACGAAGAACUCCGAUUGCGAAGGCAGCCAUCUGGGGUGCGAUUGACGCUGAGGCUCGAAAGUGCGGGAAUCAAACA
rnacentral:rRNA from 1 species